rnacentral:rRNA from 1 species
GACGAACGCUGGCGGCGUGCUUAACACAUGCAAGUCGAACGGAAAGGCCCUGCUUUUGUGGGGUGCUCGAGUGGCGAACGGGUGAGUAACACGUGAGUAACCUGCCCUUGACUUUGGGAUAACUUCAGGAAACUGGGGCUAAUACCGGAUAGGAGCUCCUGCUGCAUGGUGGGGGUUGGAAAGUUUCGGCGGUUGGGGAUGGACUCGCGGCUUAUCAGCUUGUUGGUGGGGUAGUGGCUUACCAAGGCUUUGACGGGUAGCCGGCCUGAGAGGGUGACCGGCCACAUUGGGACUGAGAUACGGCCCAGACUCCUACGGGGGGCAGCAGUGGGGAAUAUUGCACAAUGGGCGGAAGCCUGAUGCAGCAACGCCGCGUGCGGGAUGACGGCCUUCGGGUUGUAAACCGCUUUCGCCUGUGACGAAGCGUGAGUGACGGUAAUGGGUAAAGAAGCACCGGCUAACUACGUGCCAGCAGCCGCGGUGAUACGUAGGGUGCGAGCGUUGUCCGGAUUUAUUAGGCGUAAAGGGCUCGUAGGUGGUUGAUCGCGUCGGAAGUGUAAUCUUGGGGCUUAACCCUGAGCGUGCUUUCGAUACGGGUUGACUUGAGGAAGGUAGGGGAGAAUGGAAUUCCUGGUGGAGCGGUGGAAUGCGCAGAUAUCAGGAGGAACACCAGUGGCGAAGGCGGUUCUCUGGGCCUUUCCUGACGCUGAGGAGCGAAAGCGUGGGGAGCGAACAGGCUUAGAUACCCUGGUAGUCCACGCUGUAAACGGUGGGUACUAGGUGUGGGGUCCAUUCCACGGGUUCCGUGCCGUAGCUAACGCUUUAAGUACCCCGCCUGGGGAGUACGGCCGCAAGGCUAAAACUCAAAGGAAUUGACGGGGCCCCGCACAAGCGGCGGAGCAUGCGGAUUAAUUCGAUGCAACGCGUAGAACCUUACCUGGGUUUGACAUGGAUCGGGAGUGCUCAGAGAUGGGUGUGCCUCUUUUGGGGUCGGUUCACAGGUGGUGCAUGCCUGUCGUCAGCUCGUGUCGUGAGAUGUUGGGUUAAGUCCCGCAACGAGCGCAACCCUUGUUCACUGUUGCCAGCACGUUAUGGUGGGGACUCAGUGGAGACCGCCGGGGUCAACUCGGAGGAAGGUGGGGAUGACGUCAAGUCAUCAUGCCCCUUAUGUCCAGGGCUUCACGCAUGCUACAAUGGCUGGUACAGAGAGUGGCGAGCCUGUGAGGGUGAGCGAAUCUCGGAAAGCCGGUCUCAGCUCGGAUUGGGGUCUGCAACUCGACCUCAUGAAGUCGGAGUCGCUAGUAAUCGCAGAUCAGCAACGCUGCGGUGAAUACGCUCCCGGGGCU